rnacentral:rRNA from 1 species
UACAGAGGGGGCAAGCGUUGUUCGGAAUUACUGGGCGUAAAGGGCGCGUAGGCGGCCUUCUAAGUCGAACGUGAAAUCCCCGGGCUCAACCCGGGAACUGCGUCCGAUACUGGAAGGCUUGAAUCCGGGAGAGGGAUGCGGAAUUCCAGGUGUAGCGGUGAAAUGCGUAGAUAUCUGGAGGAACACCGGUGGCGAAGGCGGCAUCCUGGACCAGUACCGACGUUCAGGCACGAAAGCGUGGGGAGCAAACAGG